AUUACACGCAUUCAAGACAUCGUUAGCCACAGAAUCACCCAAUCGCACGACACUUUCCAGACUGUGGUACUGUUUGAUGUGGUCGCAGUUUAAUAGGGAGAACGAGUGGACCCCGAGAACGAUUACACGCAUUCAAGACAUCGUUAGCCACAGAAUCACCCAAUCGCACGACACUUUCCAGACUGUGGUACUGUUUGAUGUGGUCGCAGUUUAAUAGGGAGAACGAGUGGACCCCGAGAACGAUUACACGCAUUCAAGACAUCGUUAGCCACAGAAUCACCCAAUCGCACGACACUUUCCAGGUCAGGGUCUGAAUUCAACGGAAUAGAAUCUUGAACUUGUUUCUCUACACAGGGCACAUGCCUGCAGAAACUUUAUAGUUUGGAAAUACUCCUUUUUUGAAAAGUACACCUUUGUUUUUCCUAGCGUGAUUGUUUUUAUAACUGUGCUGUGAUUUCUUAUGGAGUGAUCUAAUUUUGAAUGGUAUUUUAAUGAAUGAAUAUCAAUAUUUGGUGCAUGUAUUAUGUAAUCAUAUGGGAAUAUACAUCUGUAAGACUGAUUGAUAGUGUCAAUAAUCAUUUUAAACAUUUGACAUAUAACUUGUGUGCUUCUCUACUAAAUAGAGUCAAAUGUUGUGAAUAGGAACACUAUUUUUUUGAUUAUUUCUGUUCUGGUUGUUUCCCUUGAAUUGUGUGAAUUUUUGGAAUUACUAUGAAAUACAAACAAAACACAGGAUACAGUUCAGAAAUGUUGCAUUUAAUUCAUUAAACAUUAUAUUUUAAUAUAACAAAAGCUUUUUGUUUUAUUAUGCAUAUAUUAAAAAACUUAAGGUGGCAGGGGAUAUAUCAGUGAAAGGGGGGUCCAUGAAAAUUACAUAUCUUUAGGGUAGGUGUUACCUAUGGUCUUUAAAAAUCAAUUAGGUAUUUAUAAGAUGUAUUUCUUGUGUUAGGUUGUAGAAAGAAUGUCUCAAAAUUUUGGAAAAAAACAUUACAACUAGCCACAGCUCCCUAGCAAGGAAAUUUUGAAUCUUCAAAAAGGAGGUUUUCACUUUUGUCGGAAGUCAAUAUUUCACGCUGCAGAAACAGAACAAAAUUUUGAAGACUGUGGUACUGUUUGAUGUGGUCGCAGUUUAAUAGGGAGAACGAGUGGACCCCGAGAACGAUUACACGCAUUCAAGACAUCGUUAGCCACAGAAUCACCCAAUCGCACGACACUUUCCAGGUCAGGGUCUGAAUUCAACGGAAUAGAAUCUUGAACUUGUUUCUCUACACAGGGCACAUG